GUGAGUCAUCGAAUCUUUGAACGCACAUUGCGCCCGCCAGUAUUCUGGCGGGCAUGCCUGUCCGAGCGUCAUUUCAACCCCUCAAGCCCAGCUUGGUGUUGGGGCCCCUACGUGCGCCGUAGGCCCCGAAUUCCAGUGGCGGGCUCGCCGCGAUCCCGAGCGUAGUAGUGCUACCCCGCUCAGGGCGCGCGGCGGGCGCCGGCCGUGAAAGAAACCACUUCGACAAAAGGUUGACCUCGGAUCAGGUAGGAAUACCCGCUGAACUUAAGCAUAUCAAUAAGCGGAGGA
rnacentral:misc_RNA from 1 species